AAAAAGUAGCCUGGCAAAUUUUCAGAAAUUUAAUUUAGGGCAUAAGCUGUAUGCAAAAAAGAAAAUCCCUCAUUUAAAAUCUGGUGCAAUUUGUUAACCUCCAGAAUGACGAAUGCAGUCUUAAUUUACCUGGGUAUAUAUUCUCUGACUCCCUCCAUUGCUGUGGAACCCCACUGCUCAGGUGACAGCUGGCAAAAAAACAUCAUGACAAGCUCUUGGCACAGUGUCAACAAUAACAUGAUAACAUGUUGCCCUAUCAGAAAAAUAAACCCAAAUGAUUAGAUGACAUACAGAGGAGGAAAACACCUCCCUGCCUAUAUAGUCCUAUUUCUGAAAAUCAAAAAAGAUCAAAGUGGUAAGUCUCUAAAUUAGAAAAGGAGAAAUGCACACAUAUCCCUUUCCUGUUAUACACAGACUCCGUGGCAUCAAAACAAAAAUUUAUGGUUGCAAAGCUCCAGAGACCAGAAGUCUGAAACACUAUCAGGUUUGUCUCCUGCUGAAGCCACAGGGGAGAAUCUGUUCCAGGGCUCUCCCCUGUUUCUGGGGCUUUGCUAGUGACCUUUGGUGUUACUUGGCUUGUAGAAGCACCUUCCUGAAAUGUGCUUCAUGUUCAUGUGACAUCUGACUUCUGUGCAUGUCUGUCUCCAAAUUUCCUGUUUCUACAAUGAAGCCAGUGACAUUGGAGUGGAGCCCAUGCUGAACACCUCAUUUUAACUGGAUUACCCCUGUAAAGACUCUGUCUCCAAACAAGGUCACAUCUCCAUACUGAGAGUUAGGACUGCAACAUAUGAACUUGGGGGAGGGGACACAAUUCAAUCUAUAGCAGUACAUAUUCAUGUCAUCUGGGGUGGGAGGUUGGGUUUUGCCAUCCAAACAUAACCUGGGACUUGCCAGUGCCUUUACUCCUUGGAGAAAGUAGCUGUUGUGGCUGUGGGCCACAUCCUGAACUGUGAGGAGCCACUCAGUCCAGGAGUUAUUCUGGAGAUCCCUUCCAGCUGACCUGAGACCAGGCUCUCUUAGGUAAGCUAAUCUCAGUUAGAAAUAAAAUACCACUCCAUGUAGUUCCUACAUAAACCUUUAAGCUUCUGUGGAAAUUCCAAGGAGGAUGUGAUUCUUAGGCACAAACCUUGUUCCUCCAAUUCAGUGCCAAAUAGAAAUAUUUGUUGAUGUAAUUGUUCUUUCAUUUCCUAAUCUUCUAUACAUGUUUAGUGGAUUGCAUAAUGUCCACCUCAAAAGACACAGAUCCAACUUGUAACAACUAGUAACUAUAGAUGUGAUAUUAUUUGGAAACAGGGCCCUUGUGGAUGGAAUUAAAUUGACUCUCAGGAUGAGAUUCUCCUGUGUUUAGAGUGGGCCCUAAAUACAGUGACUGAUAUGCUUCUAUGAGGAAGGAGAAAGAGGUUAGACGUACAGGCCUCCCAACACAGGCAAGACCCGAAAUACCAAGACUGUGGAGUAAAGGAAAGUUCAUGAAGUGAAGGAUGUAAAGCCAAGAGUCUAAGUCACUCUUCUCCCAAAGUACUCUCUCAACAUGAGAUGUACAGGGGAAGUUAGGAUCAAGAAAGAAAGGAUGAAAGGAAGGAAGGGAGGGAGGGAGGGAAGGAAGGAAAGG
rnacentral:lncRNA from 1 species